rnacentral:rRNA from 1 species
UACAGAGGUCUCAAGCGUUGUUCGGAUUCAUUGGGCGUAAAGGGCGCGUAGGUGGUUCGGUAAGUCGGAUGUGAAAUCUCCAGGCUCAACCUGGAGGGGUCAUUCGAUACUGCCGUGACUAGAGUUCGGUAGAGGAGUGUGGAAUUCCUGGUGGAGCGGUGAAAUGCGCAGAUAUCAGGAGGAACACCGGUGGCGAAGGCGGGUCUCUGGGCCGGCAUUGACGCUGAGGAGCGAAAGCCAGGGGAGCAAACGGG